GAGCGGAAAGGCCUUCGGGGUCACUCGAGCUGCGAACGGGUGAGUACACGUGAGUAACUGUCCUUGGCUUUGGGAUAACCCUCGGAGACGGGGGCGAAUGACGGAUAUGACCUUGUCCUGCGUGGGGUGGGGUGGAAAGUUUUUCGGCUAGGGGUGGGCUCGCGGCCUAUCAGCUUGUUGGUGGGGUGAUGGCCUACCAAGGCGACGACGGGUAGCCGGCCUGAGAGGGCGACCGGCCACACUGGGACGGAGACACGGCCCAGACUCCUACGGGAGGCAGCAGUGGGGAAUAUUGCACAAUGGGCGGAAGCCUGAUGCAGCGACGCCGCGUGAGGGAUGACGGCCUUCGGGUUGUAAACCUCUUU
rnacentral:rRNA from 1 species